CAGUCGAGCGGACAGAAGGGAGCUUGCUCCCGGAUGUUAGCGGCGGACGGGUGAGUAACACGUGGGUAACCUGCCUGUAAGACUGGGAUAACUCCGGGAAACCGGAGCUAAUACCGGAUAGUUCCUUGAACCGCAUGGUUCAAGGAUGAAAGACGGUUUCGGCUGUCACUUACAGAUGGACCCGCGGCGCAUUAGCUAGUUGGUGAGGUAACGGCUCACCAAGGCGACGAUGCGUAGCCGACCUGAGAGGGUGAUCGGCCACACUGGGACUGAGACACGGCCCAGACUCCUACGGGAGGCAGCAGUAGGGAAUCUUCCGCAAUGGACGAAAGUCUGACGGAGCAACGCCGCGUGAGUGAUGAAGGUUUUCGGAUCGUAAAGCUCUGUUGUUAGGGAAGAACAAGUGCAAGAGUAACUGCUUGCACCUUGACGGUACCUAACCAGAAAGCCACGGCUAACUACGUGCCAGCAGCCGCGGUAAUACGUAGGUGGCAAGCGUUGUCCGGAAUUAUUGGGCGUAAAGGGCUCGCAGGCGGUUUCUUAAGUCUGAUGUGAAAGCCCCCGGCUCAACCGGGGAGGGUCAUUGGAAACUGGGAAACUUGAGUGCAGAAGAGGAGAGUGGAAUUCCACGUGUAGCGGUGAAAUGCGUAGAGAUGUGGAGGAACACCAGUGGCGAAGGCGACUCUCUGGUCUGUAACUGACGCUGAGGA
rnacentral:rRNA from 1 species